rnacentral:rRNA from 1 species
UACGAAGGGGGCUAGCGUUGCUCGGAAUUACUGGGCGUAAAGCGCACGUAGGCGGAUUGUUAAGUCGGGGGUGAAAUCCUGGAGCUCAACUCCAGAACUGCCUUCGAUACUGGCGAUCUAGAGUCCGGGAGAGGUGAGUGGAACUGCGAGUGUAGAGGUGAAAUUCGUAGAUAUUCGCAAGAACACCAGUGGCGAAGGCGGCUUACUGGCCCGGUACUGACGCUGAGGCACGAAAGCGUGGGGAGCAAACAGG